GGUGAUCAAUCAGAGGUUCAGCUUGUGACUCAGUAGUUCCCAUACAGAAGUUCAACAACAAAUAGGAAAAAGAAAUUGAAGAACACUCAUGCAACUAAGAUGUUGUCAAAUUAAUUGUCCCUGAUGUGAUUUACCUAAGGCCACUUAUAAAAUUGGUUAAAAUAAUUUCCAAGCUACUAGUAGUUGUCUUGUUAACCCACCAGGAAAAUGAUGAAGUUUUGAGAGCCUGGAAAAUAGCAAAUACAGAGCCUAUCUUCAGAAAUGAGAAAGAGUCAGGGAUUGCAGAGGAGUCAUCUUAACUUCAGUUCCUGGAAAAAGUUCUGGAACAAUAAUCAACUGAACUAUUUGUAAGCACUUGGAAGAUAACAAGGAGACACCAAAGCAUGAACACCCUCAAGCACAACGGAAGGCAGUAGUACAAACCUCACAAAUUGGAAACACAGUCCAAAAAUUAGGAUGUAGUCCAGUAGACAUACUAAGUUUUUUGGUGCUGUAGCUGAUACCCAAGAAACAAAAGUGUCAGAAAGCAGAAGGAGGACUAGAACCACCUGUCCCAGGACACUGUGGACUCUGUCACUGGGUACUUUGAAGACCAACAUUAGACAAUCGUAGAAUGUUCUGCAUAUAGUUUGUCUUCUUGUGAUUAAGGAUUCAGUGACAACAAUGUUUUCUUCCACUCUGUUUUCUAUGGGGUGUGGUAAAUAUAUCGAUGAAACACUGUUCUUUGGCUCUUUUCCUUGUCUUUGUGGACAAUUUCUCUGAAAUAAGAGAUUUUCCUAAUAUCUUGUUGCUAAAGAAACCACAUUUCAGGCAAGGAAAAUGGGGCAGUUGAAAACAUCCAAAAUGUCCUUGAUACCUGCUAUGUUACACUCACAAAGAAAACAAAAUGUUCCCAAACUAAAGAGUACAGCACAUAGUUUGGUUAGUCACUUUGGAUGUGAUUUUGAAUGAAAAGUCAAGAAUCACAUACUUAGUGAUAUCUUCUUAUAAACUUCUGGGUAUUUAUUAACCAUCAACAGUAAUUGAGCUGUGUUGUUCAGGUAAACUUCUGUAGGAAGGAUACAUCAUUCCAAGAUCAUACAGUGCCAUAAAAGAUGGUAUUUGAUAGGAGGGAGUAAAGAAGAUGGAGCCAGGCUCAUUUCUGUGGUUCCCAAUGGGCAAAAACAGAAACACAGCUGGUUCCCUCUGAAUAUCAGGAAACACUUUAUUGUGAAGAAGUGUGUGAUUGUAAUAUGGAAGAAUGUAGACUUUUCCAUAAUUCCUCUCCUUUUGGUCUCGAUAUCUGAAAUACUAGCAUUUGUGUUAGUCUCUACUUGGUUGUUUAGUCAGACUAAUACAUUUUUCAGUUAAUUUGCACUAUGCUAUUCACCAAAUGUAAGUUCCAUUCUUGCAAGAACAAUAUUUUCCUUUUUUACGUCCAUGCCAUAAUUUGAACGCUAUUUAGUAUGCUCCUCCUGCUGAUUCAGAGCCAUAGUCCAAGUUCUGGCAUCAUUUUCAUCUGCUAUCAUGUCUGUCAUUUUCCUGUGGAAUGGAACACUGCUGGUUUGUUUGAGGUACCACAAUAAUUUUUUUAUCCAAUAACAUAACAGAUGUACUCACUGACAAAUGCAAAAAUAUACAAAUAUAAAAAUUGGAAACACAGUGUUUACAAAAGAGGGAGAGUCAUAUUCUGCAACCAGCUGAACAAAAGAUAAUGAUCUGAGUCACACAGAGGCACAUAACAUUCUUCAUAGCGGGUGGAAAGAUUUUGAACUACGUGAGUCCCUGGCUGACAUAUUCAGGUACUAGCUCCCCAUUCAUCCCUUGGAUGCAUUAUGAAAUCUGAUAAGUGGCAAAGACACAUCACAACAUCUGCAUGAGUAAAGGCAUUUCUCAGAAAGGGCU